GGGAUUUCUGCAUUUUCCACUGCAGGAGCGAGUUGACGUCCCGGCUCUGAGCAAUGAGGUCUUCACGUGUGGGACUGUUUUGUUAAGACUUGACUAUGGCUUAACUGUGUGAGACUAAUGAGGGGAAAGCUGUCCUCUGAGCAUGACACAACAGGGCAGAAGUUCAUCCUAUAUUUUACCUCCUGUGUGGAUUAAGCUCCUCCUCUAGUAAGACAUCACCAAAUGAGUUUGGCCAAAACCUAGAUGUAUGUGUAGAGGUGCUCCUGUGCUUGGGGUCUUUGCCUCCAGACUGCUUCCAACCCUGGUGCAGGAAGUUAUGAACACCUUGGCAGCUCGUGUACAACCUGUCUGUUUUGCCAGACCUCUCCUACUUGACUCCUGCCUCUGUGCUCCUCCAUGCACAUGCAAGAUGCAGAGUAAAUGACUGGUCGAAUAGGAAGGAACUGAAAGGUACAAAUGGUUUGGAGCAUGAGUAUAUUAAGAAAAAGCUAAUGACGGAUAAUUUGCAUAGGAACGUCAAUAAAUGUUGUCUAUGUGUUUUUGACUGGCCACCCUGAAAUGUAUUCCUAAUGGCAACAAAUUGGAUAUUUCAGUUAACCCGGUGCCUUUCAUCAGAUCUGAACUCCAUUUAAAAACAACAUUAUUUUAACAUGUUUUUAAAGCACCUUUUCCUAACAUGAUCCAGGAGGCUGUGCAAAAACAACUUGGAAUAAACUUGAAACCUACACAGGGCCAAGCCAGAGAAAAGGAGCCAACACCUUUGGGCAAAGAAAACCAGAAAAUCUAAGGAGAAGAGCCAGGAAGAAGGGAGGGAAGAGAUGUUCAUGGAAAAAUCUACCUCUAAAGGAAAAUGCUGUCCAGAAAUGGCUUUUUUUUUUUUUUUUUUUGGAGAAAUCUCCAUGUAAAACCAAUUCAGUGCUUUAUGUAUUGAUUCAAUUUUCUCAUUGAAAGAAUACUCCAGCUGUUGAGAUAACACCUACUGCCAACAAGCUAUUGUCUCUGGAACCCCUCAGAUAAUGAGCUCGGUUAUUCUAUUAAUGGAAUAUGAGAUUAGGGAGUUUAGGUUAAAUACAGCAUAGAGCAACAGCAAUGUUCAGCCUGGAUCCCAGACUUGGUUUUGUGUGAUUGGUUAAUUCAUGAGUCGAGGAGACCAGGUGUUUAAAUUCCACAUUCUUGAUGAGGAAACAAGUAUCCACUUGCUAUCUGAACGAUGGUGUCCCUUAUGCAGUGGGAAAACUCCCCACACAGGCUGCUAAAGUGAUCUGUACCCAAAAUGGUCUUUUGCUACAUCGUUGUUCCUUGAAGCUAACUGAAAACGCAGUAAGUGGUGGGGAGGAUUGUCUUUUUCAAGGUAAAUAUUUUAUUUGUGAAAGAAAAUGAACCCAAAGGCUCCAUCAUACUGACAGUGACCUUCCUUGCUCGGUCUGUUGUACUGUGGAACAGUAAAGCACAUGCUCUGAUGGAUGGGACGGGCAGGGGAGAUUAUAUUUCUUUUUAUUCCUUUCUAGCUUUGUGCCAAUACACACAGGAAGGGAUGGUUUGGAUUUUCCUGUCAUUCCCUCUGUCACUCCAAACUGAAUGUUGUUGAGGUUCAGCUGAAAGUUUUUGGACCCUGAAGGAAUCUCUAGGUCAAAUUUUAUGGCCUUCAUUUUUGCUCAAGGCCAGACCUGAGGAUCGCAGAAAUUAUUCACUCAAGAUUCUUGUUGCUACUUUAGGUCUACAUCUUCUACUGAUUAUCCAUCACAUACACCAGGCACCAGUGACCCAUCCACCAGCAAGAGUUGGCAUGGGGCCAACGGGUUAAUUUUUGGAUAUCCUCAGACUUCUGCAUGAAAAUGAGAUUAAAAUAACCUCACAAAGUAGCCAAAAGUGGGCCUGAAUGUCUGUCUGAAUCUGGUGCUUUCAGUCCUCUAGCCAUGUCUCCCAGUCUAUGGGGAAAUACGAUCAUUUGAGGCCACCUCUGAAGGAAAGCUGAAGUAAAGCAUAGCUGAAAGAAAGUAUCUUUUAAGAAAGUGGAUUUCUGAAGUUUGUGGCAAUCCUAUUCUGAGCAAACUGACAUCUAAAAGACUGACAGCAGCAAAGAUAAAUAUAGUAGUAGAGCAGCAGGGGAGCUGAGAUGAAUAGAAGUAUAUUCCACUGAGAGACUCCGUGACAUCCUGAACCGCAUCAGUGAAGUCCCAAGAUUUGCCCUGUUGGAUUCAAAGACACUGACGGAGCCUGAGGCGAGUUCCAAGGCACAGGCUUCUCUUUCCUUGAAGUCUGUUCCCACUGGGUUUGCGUCCUCCUUGAAGAUUUUUGAGAUCUGGUAACAUAGGAUCAGAAACUCAUUAUGAAGUUGGUCUGUUCCUUCUUUUGUACUUUUGUACGCACUGUUUAUAUUUGUUGAGGCUCAUCAGGGCUUAACUUCUGUUUGAAAGUAGGAAUAUUGAACUCUGUUCUACUUUUUCCUCUUUAGUAAGAUCAGGAGCAGCCCAUACUUGUAAAAUAGAUGGAAAAGAAAGACUAGUCCUUAGGUCAGCCAAGACUUAGAAGGGGAAGAGCUUAAUUUGUUACAGUGAUAGCAUUUCGUUGUGCUUUUAAAUUUGAGAUGUAUCCUCAAUGGUCCACCAGUAGUAGGUAGAAUCCACUGCAAGGAUAAGAAUGUAGUUUCCUGCCUUCCACUGACUUACACCUGUUUAGUGAGUUUAGCCGGUAAUUUUGGGAUGAUGGAAAUGACACAGCUUCAGAUACAGCUCUUAUUUGUACAUCUAGUAGAGGCCUCUAUCCUGCUGAGUCCCAUAGAUGCCUGUUCUUCUGCUCUAGGUAAGGAUACGUAGCUGCGAUAUGAAUGAUUACUGAAGAUUUAGGGGGAAGGCAUAUCAGCCAACUGCUGAAACUUGUCUAUCGUUUUGCUUUUCUCUGGUUAUUUAAUAAUAAACCCAAGAUUGUUACAAAUGGAGAUGGCAUCUGGUCCCCUCCCCUUUUUGUAUUCUCUGUGCAUCUUGACACACUAAAGGAAACCAUAUAUUUGAGAACAAAACGCCUUUCUCAGAGAAAUUUUAUGAUAUAGCCUUGUAUGAUAUUAUACCAAAGCAGAGAAAAUGUUUAUGGGAGAGUUAACCAAGCAGUAUGUGUAUAUAUGUGCACUGCCAUGCAUGUGUGUGAACGGUCUCUGCAGGAUAAAAAGCUUUUGUGACGGCUUAAGAAAAUGUUGAACUACCAAGGGGACGGGGUAGCAGCAGUUUUCUGAAUAGCUGUGCUUUUCCCAGACAGCACUCAGAAAUAACCUUUAACUGCUGAGGCAAGAAAUAAAUAAAAACGCAGCAAAAUUUCUCUAAUGGGGAUUGUUUGGCUUCUGCAUGAGCCUGGACGAUGUGGCUGGGCUGGGUUGCUUUAGGAGAUCCGCAUUAAGAAAGCGUCUCAAGAGCAAUGCACUGCAAAUCUUUUUUAGAGUGCUGGAUUCAGAGACUGCUAGGUACUGCAAUUAGAUGUUUGUAGAAUAGGGGGAAUAGAAAAUAUAGUCACAUUACAGCUGCCCUGUGUCUCAAAGCUUGUUUGGAAACACUUUUAAUUGGUCUAUCUAUCAUGCCAUUCAUUUGGAUUAAGAAUGGCUAGUGCUCUGUGUUGCCCAGAAGCAAUAAUCUCAGCAAGACUAUGUUCUCUUCGCAGCUUCAUUAACCUCUACAAUAAACAGUCAAUGCUUUAUGGUAUAAAUGUUCUGCAGCUCUUUGGGUGGGCCAUCUGUCUUUUGAGGUAGCCAUGGGUGAAUGCUAGAUAGUUAUUUCCUGAAGAGAUCAGUACAAAAAUCAAUUUUUGAGGGGCCUGCAGAUACUGCAAGUUGACCCUAACUGCUCUUCUGUACAUCCAUUCCCAGAACCCACUUGUGGGCUCCUUCAGCAAAGCUCAAUGUAAUUGUAAAGACACUCAAAAUCAUGAGGGUGUGCUUGGGACGUCUGCACCCUUUAGGGUGGAAGCGAAAAGACAGGUUGCAGUUAUUUCCCUAGAAAAUAAACGGUGCUUUUUGACAUGUUGAAUCUUGCUGAAUUUGGCACCCGACUGCAGUGUGCCCUAGCUGGAGGGAAGAGCUGGGUGGAGGAACCUCAUGGAAAGAUCUCCUGGAUAAGCUUCUUUUCUUAUCUGAGAAGUGCUUUGAGGGUGGAGUAGAGAAGGGGAGAAUAACUGAACCAUGCAGGGACUUGGGCUUCUUAUCGCUGAGACUUGGCUGAGUGACCCACAAAUGGGGAGUUGGCUUUGGGAACUGCAUGCUCAGACGGUCCUUUCAGGCAGUAACUAAGCUGGCACUUAAGACAACAGGUUCCAGAUAGAAAAUAAAACCAAAAUACAGCAACAGUAAAUGUACUACUAAUGACUGGAAAAAAACCUCUGUGACAAAAUUCUGAAAUGGUGUGGAGUGACCUGGAGACAAAUGUGUGGCACCAGGCCCUAUGGAUAUCUGGGCUUGGCAGGAACAGGAGGAGAGUUAGUUUAUGAAGUUAGGUUAAAAGUGGAGUUCAGAGAGGGAGUUAAUGGUGUCUCACACUGGGUUUUGGGUGUGAAGUAGUUCCUCAAGCUUUUAGGGUUAUUGCUUUGUAAAUAGUCCCAUGAUAGUCCUGUAAGCCUGCCCUAUCACUAGCUCUGUGAAGGCUCUACAGGAGAAGAAUCCAUGAUGCUCUGACAUGUAAAAUAUGCAAUAGCUGAUUGGGGUGAGAUUGAUUCAGGCUGUAAUGAGGCUACAUGCAUGCUAAUAGAGCCAUAUUAGCUUGUUAAUAUUGCAAUGCUGCUUCUGUCACAAAUUGUUCUAAGUUCAGCUUGUGGCAAACAACAAUUGGAAGCAAAAUUUAUUCAUGCUCUGGGCUCGCGAUACAGAUGUCACCAUUGGCCUUUGAGUCAUUUAAUAAUGAUUGGAAAUAACAUUUUCAGGGAGAAAUUGCAAGAUAAAUUCCAGUUUCUACUUGGGCAAAGCUUCUUUUUAAAUCUAACCUCUCUGUGUCUUGUGUUCAUCCAGGUACUCACAGGAGUUUCCAUCAGCCAACCUUAACUCAGCUGUCAAAUAGGCCUGCAGCCUACCAGAGAGGAAUGGGCACCUAGCGAGUGAAUUUUGGGAUGGCAUGGAAUUUUAUUGGCACUAUCUAGCUUUUUAAAUUUCUUAUUCUAUCCUUUCCAGAAAUGCUUUAGGGAUCGAUCUGAGUCUUGAGAAGAACUAUUCCAUGGAAUAGCAAUGAGUUGUUUUAUAUACAAGCUACUGGAAAAUAAACAGGACCUCUUCGUUUAGCUGAUGAAAGCAGAGAUGACAUCUUCUAAAUUCUGUGGGCCUGUAGCCAAAUUCAUCCCAAAGAUAAUGGGUACCACAGGAAGGAAACAUGCACAGCAACAAACAGGACCUAUGAAUGCCUAGUGAUUUAAAGAUCAAAAAAGCUUGAAAAAAUCUCAUUGAAAGCAGAAGAAAUUUGAAGAGCUGAGCCAUGUGGAAGGUUAGAUCGAGGAACUGCUGGCUGCAACUUCUGACAUAUCUUUCAUCGUAUUCUCCUGGAGACAAGACAGAUAAUAAUAAAUAUUUCAUAUGGCACUGUUCUGGCAGCCCCUGUGCAAAAGGAAGGAUGGUUGGGACAGAAACAAGAGAAUAGUGGAAACAUCCUUUUACAGGAUUAAGAACUCAAGCCAUUCAAAGGAACUGGAAUUGCUAGAGCUGGCUGGUGAUGCCUGGCUUUACGUGCUUAGCAAGGAGCACGUUAGCAUGACCGACAAAUGCAGAGAAAUCUUCUCUUGCUUGGCAAGUCCCUGUAGAGAUUUGUUGCAAGUCAGUGCCAUGGUUCGCUCCAGGUUUCUUCAGUCAUGAAAGUAAGUCAUGGUUCAGCACAAGACUCCUGUGACCCCUUCUGCAAAGGAAGGUGAAGGUGGGGAAAAGCACUGGUAUCUCUGCCAACACCAUCUGCCUAUUGGUGACAAUUAAACGCUUCAGCUCUGCCAUGCUGAGCAUCCAUCCUGUUUGAGGGAGCCUGCGGUUUGCUACUCAGACACCAGUUCAGCUUUCCAUAUCCAUUAGCCAUGCUGUAGGGCAGGAUGAAUGGAGUAAAUGGUGUCCAGGCUUUUCAAAGAACCAGCAGUGAAAUUUUAUUUUAUCUAGAAAAUACAAAGUAGUAUUUCCAUUACUUCUUGUCUUCCUUAACUAGUCUUCAAUAUGGGCCUGUCUUACUGUGUUACUGCCAGGAAAAGCGUGCUACUGCUGUGCUGAAGGCUAAUGCUGUGAGAGAGGGGUGGGUGAGCAAGGACAGCCGCCCUAUAAUCCAAUAUAACAGAACACUGUCCUUGCUGGAUAAUAUGACAGUGUCUUGAAUUUUUUUUUUUUAAAGUAAAUCCUUUUGCUGAUUGAGUAGCUGAGGCAGAUAUCUGAAGACCUCUGUUUGCCCCCAUAUAAGCUGAUGAACUGUGGGCUUCUGGCUUUUUUCACCCAUACAGUGUCUGCUAAUGAACCUUCACUAUGUCUUUGAAGAAUCCUUUAUAGUGGUGAGAGGAGCAGCCGACGUGUCUGAGCAAUCUGGUUUAUGAUGCUGUCCACAGUGUGUUUCCUUUCUUUUAUUUCUUUUUUUAAAAAAAUAAAUAAAUAAAUUAUGUACUUGAAAUGGAAAUUCUCUGACAUUACUUCCUCGAAAGUCCUUCAAUUACUUUUGCAGGAGUACAGGUUUGCACUAUGGAAAAUGAGGAUGCCAAGGGGAAUGUCAAGUUGCGGAAGCUCUUCCCUCCUGACAGACCAAUUUGACCAUGAACUCAAUUGUUUUCACCUUUUUUAUUUCUCAGGGGAGUAGGUCCAUAUUACAGGGCCCUGGCCCCUGCAGGCAGGACGUCUCCAGUUGCAUCAUUGUUGGAAGCAGCGGAGAAACUAGCGAAAGCUAUUGCACAAAACAUACUUACAGCUGCAAACGGGGAACAUUGUUAAGGAUGAAUUUCUUCCUGAACUGGAUCUAACAACCAUCAGCUGAAAAAGCACUGAGAGAAGCAGCUGGGCAUGGAUUUCUGAGGUGGCAGAAGUAAAUGAUAACGUGACUACAAGAUAAAUCCUGGGCCUAUUUCAGCAACAAGUGUUUUGCAAUUGGUUUUGGUGGAGCCAAGAUUUCACUGGUUCUCUCUAGCCCACAAAAACCAGAAUUGUUCCACCAACGUGAAAUGAAGUUUGUACAAGCAGCUCUUCCACAUGAAGAGAAUGAAAAAGUACAGAGGAGCUCCUGCCAACUGCUUGCUUCAUAUCGAAACUAUUCUGAGGAAGAUUCUCAGAAAUGAGGGUGAAGACUACGGGGGAAAAAAAUAAUGACUGCUGCAACAUUUUCGUAGCUGUUUGUACCCUUUCCACAGAGAGUAAUGCGUACCACUUGAGGUCCUGCUGUUUCUGUGGCUUAUCUCAGGAAGUAACGAGGUCUGUAAUCCUGGCCGAGUUUAGCAAAGCCACUAAUUGCAAAUUGCUUUGAUUUCACUUUUCAGCUUCUUGUCCCAUCGAGUGCUGUCUCCUGUCUGGAACCGUGCCUGAAGGUGGUGACAGGUUCCUGCUGGCUGGGAGCUGGUGUGUGUCCUUCCACUUUUGAGACAGUCAGCUCUGCUAAAUGUUGCUCUCUAUCCUACGCUUCUAUCCACGUUACCAGAGGAACCAUGCCUCUGGUUGUGUGGAUCCAUCUGCUGUUUCACCCUGCUUUGACCAUGGGAAGCACCAGAUGCGUUCGUGGAAGAUGUUGGGCACCCAUAGAGAGAAGAGGGGAUUUCUCACUCGUCUCAAGGCCAGCUUUUUGAGAUGAGCUCAAGUCUUCUUUGAAGCUCUGGAACAAAUGGCUCUGUUUGUUGCCCUGUUGAAAACUUGGCUAGAAGUCACUGACUUUCCUUCUGAAGCACAAUGUUUUAUGAUCUUCAUAUUUCUUUUGUUCUAUUGGCAUAAUUUAGAGAUUUCUUUAUUAUUUGUAUUUAUGUGUCAGUUCUUGGAGCACUGCGGGGAAGACAAGAUAGAGAAAUUGUACUGAAAGAGCGAGCUGUCAAGCUUAAUAUGGUGCAUUUCUCAUUUUCUGAAACUGUGGCAAGAAAUAUUUGCGAGGCAGUUGUUUGGACUGUAUCUGUCCCAGCUUUAGAAACUUUGACGUAUUUAUAAUGUUUGACUAUUUAAAAGGCAUGAAUGCAUGCGACUGCUAUAAAUCUAGAUAAGUACAGCACUGGGCAAUGCUGGUCUGCAAGGUGUCAGCAGGUAGCUGGUGACGGCAACUGUGAAUGCCCACGGUAUCUGUUGGCUAAGGGGGCCUCCAGCCCCAGGUGCCUGCAGGAGGCAGGAGCUAGCUCCUAACAGCAGUUGGGAGCAGACACAAAGUCGCAUUGUCAUUGAUCAUCAUCAUUUUUACAAGUUUAAUGUAGCUGGUUUGUGUCUACAAUGAGAAAAACACAAUUUUGGAUAGCAGUAGCGUUUUGUCUGCCUGGGUGAUUAGUGUUUCAUUUAGCGUUCUGCUAACUGCCUGCCAGACUCAUAAGGGAUGCAAGCUGGUGUGUGACAUCUUUCUCCAAGACUGUUAGGACCUUCUUUGUUUAAACAGAGGUUGAGGGAAACUUUGAUGUGCAAAGUAACUCAGUGGCCAAUGUGACCAUAUUGAGCAAGCAAGAACCAUGCUUUGGUCUGUGAGGAGUAGUUUGCGGGGGUUUUUUGUUUUGUUUUUUGGGGUUUUUUUUGGGAGGGUUUUUGGGGUUGUUUAUUGUUGGUUUUUG